GACGAACGCUGGCGGCGUGCUUAACACAUGCAAGUCGUACGGUAAGGCCCUUUCGGGGGUACACGAGUGGCGGACGGGUGAGUAACACGUGAGUAACCUGCCCACAACUUUGGGAUAACGCUAGGAAACUGGUGCUAAUACUGGAUAUGUGCCCCUGCUGCAUGGUGGGGGUUGGAAAGCUCCGGCGGUUGUGGAUGGACUCGCGGCCUAUCAGCUUGUUGGUGGGGUAGUGGCCUACCAAGGCGGCGACGGGUAGCCGGCCUGAGAGGGUGACCGGCCACAUUGGGACUGAGAUACGGCCCAGACUCCUACGGGAGGCAGCAGUGGGGAAUAUUGCACAAUGGGCGCAAGCCUGAUGCAGCAACGCCGCGUGCGGGAUGACGGCCUUCGGGUUGUAAACCGCUUUCAGCAGGGACGAAGCUUUUUGUGACGGUACCUGCAGAAGAAGCACCGGCUAACUACGUG
rnacentral:rRNA from 1 species